UGUUAGGCAAUUUUGUUGUCAAACGACCUCCCCGGGCGAUGAUGUAACCUCGGUUGUUUAUUAUCAAUCGGCCUCGGCCUAAUGAUUGAUUAGUACAUCGACAUAAUUAACGAGACAACACAAUCCACUUUGUUAUGGACCGUUCGAAGUAACCUAUUUUAUAGUGUUGCUCACGGUUCCCGCACCAUUCCUUGGAAGGCUAUAUUAUUAUUGUUGAGGCCCAAUUAUUUGAGUCGAG
rnacentral:lncRNA from 1 species